GGUAGUUGGCUCAGUGGUAGAGUGCUUGCCUCACAGGCAUGAGGCUCUGGGUUCAAUUCCUCAGCACCA
rfam:Dipodomys ordii contig_64985, whole genome shotgun sequence.